CUAAGCGGGGGGUGGGUCACUCAGCCCAGAUUGCGAGAGGGUGCAGGCAAGGCUGAGUGACCCCACCAGGGUAUG
rnacentral:pre_miRNA from 1 species